CACUGGUGGCGACCGGCGCACGGGUGCGUAACGCGUAUGCAACCUACCUUUAACAGGGGCAUAACACUGAGAAAUUGGUACUAAUUCCCCAUAACAUUCGAGAAGGCAUCUUCUUGGGUUAAAAACUCCGGCGGUUAAAGAUGGGCAUGCGUUGUAUUAGCUAGUUGGUGAGGUAACGGCUCACCAAGGCAACGAUACAUAGGGGGACUGAGAGGUUAACCCCCCACAUUGGUACUGAGACACGGACCAA
rnacentral:rRNA from 1 species